rnacentral:tRNA from 2 species
AUUUAUAUAGUUUAAAUAAAACAUUACAUUUUCACUGUAAAAAUAAAGAUCACUUUUAUAAAUA